rnacentral:rRNA from 1 species
CUACGGGUCGCUCCAGUGGGGAAUAUUGCGCAAUGGGGGAAACCCUGACGCAGCGACGCCGCGUGGAGGAUGACGGUUUUAGGAUUGUAAACUCCUGUUAAGUGGGAAGAAAUGGCAAAGUUUAAUAGGCUUUGCAGCUGACGGUACCACUAGAGAAAGCACCGGCUAACUUCGUGCCAGCAGCCGCGGUAAUACGAGGGGUGCAAGCGUUAUUCGGAGUUACUGGGCGUAAAGAGCGUGUAGGCGGUCUGUUAAGUCGGUUGUUAAAUACCCUAGCUCAACUGGGGAUCGGCAAACGAUACUGGCAGGCUAGAGGGCAAGAGAGAGAGGUGGAAUUCUCGGAGUAGCGGUAAAAUGCGUAGAUCUCGAGAGGAACAUCGGUUGCGAAGGCGGCCUCUUGGCUUGUCCCUGACGCUAAGGCGCGAAAGCGUGGGGAGCAAACAGGAUUAGAUACCCGCGUAGUC